rnacentral:rRNA from 1 species
GACGAACGCUGGCGGCGUGCUUAACACAUGCAAGUCGAACGGAAAGGCCCCUUUGGGGGUACUCGAGUGGCGAACGGGUGAGUAACACGUGAGUAACCUGCCCUUGACUUCGGGAUAACUUCAGGAAACUGGGGCUAAUACCGGAUAGGAAUCCUUGCUGCAUGGGGGGGGUUGGAAAGCUUCGGCGGUUUUGGAUGGACUCGCGGCUUAUCAGCUUGUUGGUGGGGUAGUGGCUUACCAAGGCUUUGACGGGUAGCCGGCCUGAGAGGGCGACCGGCCACAUUGGGACUGAGAUACGGCCCAGACUCCUACGGGAGGCAGCAGUGGGGAAUAUUGCACAAUGGGCGGAAGCCUGAUGCAGCAACGCCGCGUGCGGGAUGACGGCCUUCGGGUUGUAAACCGCUUUCAGCAGGGGCGAAGCUUGUGGUGACGGUACCUGCAGAAGAAGCACCGGCUAACUACGUG